AACGAACGCUGGCGGCGUGGUUCAGGCAUGCAAGUCGAACGGUCCCGCAAGGGACAGUGGCAGAAGGGUUAGUAACACGUGGGUAAUCUACCCUGGACUCGGGGAUAACAUCUCGAAAGAGAUGCUAAUACCCGAUGACAUUUCCGGAUCGCAGGAUUUGGAAAUCAAAGGUGGCUCGCAAGAGCUGCCGAUCGAGGAGGGGCCCGCGGCCUAUCAGCUAGUUGGUGAGGUAACGGCCCACCAAGGCUUUUGACGGGUAGCUGGUCUAAGAGGACGAUCAGCAACAUUGGGACUGAGACACUGCCCAGACUCCUACGGGAGGCUGCAGUCGAGGAUCUUAGCAAUGCCCGAAAGGGUGACUAUGCGACGCCGCGUGCAGGAUGAAGGCCU
rnacentral:rRNA from 1 species